rnacentral:rRNA from 1 species
AUUGAACGCUGGCGGCAGGCUUAACACAUGCAAGUCGAGCGGGGUGAUGGUGCUUGCACUAUCACUUAGCGGCGGACGGGUGAGUAAUGCUUAGGAAUCUGCCUAUUAGUGGGGGACAACAUCUCGAAAGGGAUGCUAAUACCGCAUACGUCUUACGGGAGAAAGCAGGGGAUCACUUGUGACCUUGCGCUAAUAGGUGAGCCAAGGUCGGAUUAGCUAGUUGGUGGGGUAAAGGCCUACCAAGGCGACGAUCUGUAGCGGGUCGGGGAGGAUGAUCCGCCACACUGGGACUGAGACACGGCCCAGACUCCUACGGGAGGCAGCAGUGGGGAAUAUUGGACAACGGGGGGAACCCUGAUCCAGCCAUGCCGCGUGUGUGAAGAAGGCCUUAUGGUUGUAAAGCACUUUAAGCGAGGAGGAGGCUCUUUUGGUUAAUACCCAAGAUGAGUGGACGUUACUCGCAGAAUAAGCACCGGCUAACUCUGUGCCAGCAGCCGCAGUAA